rnacentral:rRNA from 1 species
CCUACGGGAGGCAGCAGUGAGGAAUCUUCCACAAUGGGCGAAAGCCUGAUGGAGCGACACCGCGUGAAGGAAGAAGGCCUAACGGUUGUAAACUUCUUUUCUGAAGGAGCAUAAUGAGAGUACUUUAGGAAUAAGGGACGGCUAAAUACGUGCCAGCAGCCGCGGUAAUACGUAUGUCUCGAGCGUUACCCGGAAUAACUGGGUGUAAAGGGUUUGUAGGUUGAUUGUUAAGUCAGAUAUGAAAGACCGAAGCUUAACUUCGAGUUAGUAUUUGAAACUGGCUAUCUAGAAUCAGGGAGAGGUAAGCGGAAUUCUAAGUGUAGGGGUGCAAUCCGUAGAUACUUAGAGGAACACCAAAAGCGAAGGCAGCUUACUGGAACUGAAUUGACACUGAAAAACGAAAGCGUGGGGAGCGAAAAGGAUUAGAUACCCUUGUAGUCCACGCCCUAAACGAUGACAACUAAGUGUUGCGACUAGCUCGCAGUGCUGUAGCAAACGCGUUAAGUUGUCCACCUGAGGAGUACGGUCGCAAGAUUAAAACUCAAAGGAAUAGACGGGGACCCACACAAGCAGUGGAUCACGUGGUUUAAUUCGAUAAUAAACGGGGAACCUUACCCAGACUUGACAUCCUAGGAAUGCACCAGAGAUGGAGCAGUGCUCGCAAGAGAACCUAGAGACAGGUGCUGCAUGGUUGUCGUCAGCUCGUGCCUUGAGGUGUUCGGUUAAGUCCGUUAACGAGCGCAACCCAUGUCCUUAGUUAAACUGUCUAAGGAGACUGCCUUGGUUAACAAGGAGGAAGGUGUGGAUGACGUCAAAUCAGCAUGGCUUUUACGUCUGGGGCUACACACAUGAUACAAUGGUGUAAACAAAGAGUAGUGAAUCCGCGAGGAGGAACCAAUCUUGAAAAUACAUCUCAGUCCGGAUUGGAGUCUGCAACUCGACUCCAU